rnacentral:lncRNA from 1 species
CACCUUCACGUCUGACACGUGAGUAUCACCCACUUAAAGGAGUCCAGGACUCUCCUCCAGAGGCAUCUUCUGGCCUGGAAGCUCCGGCAUGACGCAGGAUAGUAUCAGGCCACCCUGCAGAGAGCACUGGGGAGCUCAUCCACAGACCAAGGAAUCUUCCUUUCCAGACUUACUUCACUUUGACAAUAAAUGCUCCUCCUAAAUAUCUGAAUUCUGGGAGGUUAAAACGUUGUUUCCCAAACUUUCCUGUGCAUAAUACAGCACAGCUGGGGAUCCUGUUAACAAUGCAGAUUCUGAUUCAGUAGGUCUGAUGUGGGGCCUCAGAGUCUCCAUUUUAAGAAGCUUCCAGGUGAUAGCGUCAGCAUCACCUGUAGAUUACACUUUGAAUGGCGAAGGUUAGAAGUCUUAUAAAGGAGGUUUCUAAGAUGACAUCUGAAUGAAUUAGACCCCCAACACUUGGCUUUCUGCCAUCUUAAAACUACAAAAUGUUAAUUAUUUAGUAUCUGCGCCAACUUAAUAUCAGAUUUAUAUAAGUAACAGCCUUCCGUAACGGUCUUGAGAAAGAAACAGGUGGUCCUUUGGCCAUUAGGCAUUGAUGACUGCAUAUUCACUCCAUGAUCAAUACUGGGCAUUACAGAGAUGCCGGCCAAGUUUCCAUAUGCUUAGAGUGCUUAAAACCUCGUUGGCAAAAAAGGCAAUAGGAAACAAAAUAACUAGUACACCAUCUACAGCAAAGAUGAGAGGCGCCUAGGUGGCUCCACUGGUUGAGCAUCUGACUCUUGAUCUCAUGGGUCAUGAGUUCAAGCCCCAUGCUGGCCUCCACCCUGGGUGUGGAGCCUACUUAAAAUAAAUGAAAAUAAACAAACGUUUAAGCAAUAACAAUAAAUAAAGCUAAGAAGAUGAAAAUAUUAGCUGCUAUAAAAUAGUGAUUCUCAAGAGGGUGGCAUACCAGCAUCUGGAGGGGAAGAUGUCAAACCAGACACUUCCCUCUAACCCCCACCUAGAUUAUGACACUGACUCUGCCCACCCUUGCACUGAAGGAGGAAACUACGGACACUUCUAGGAAUGCCACACUCUUCAGGAAGAUAAGAUGGGAAAACUACUAUUUGCAGGUUGUGUAGAGAAAGGCAAUGGAGAUACGGGACCUGGAAGAGUAAGUCAAAUUGGCAGGCAUUCCAGGUGGGAAGCGCUUCUUCUGGCAAACGUACCGAGGGAAAGAGGAGUCUGGGGUGUACAUAUGGGAUGGAAAGAAGACCUGCUCAACAGAAGUAAACCAGAGUGAAUGCCCCCUCCCCACCGCCCCAUCCUGAGUUAGAGGAAGCACAGAAAGUAACGUGCUGACCACUUGUUAAGAACGUGAGAGAGCUAUGUCUUCACAGGAAGGCCGAGCUAGUUUGUCUCUCAGGUCCCUGCCAAUUUUUCCUUGGUUGAAGAACAAAAUUUCACUUUUCCUCUCACACAUAUUUCUAAGCUGAAUAACCCACCUUGCCUGCUGUUCAGUAUGGGACAUGACUGAGCAGAACGUGGCGGUGUAAGAGUCCCUAUAAAUGUACGGAAAAGAUAGCCUAAGUUGCUGCAUCAGGUAGACUUCACCCCCUGCUCAGCAUCCCCGGUUCUUCGGGACUGUUCUCAGAGGUCUUACUUUCAACCGUGCCAUCAGCCAUCUUCGUGACUCUUCUCUGAACCCCAUCCGAAGGGUCCUCAUCCCUCCCACACAGGCAAGCGAGGAGGAGGAGGUGCGCUCUGCUCUUCCCGGACUACUCUGCCCAAAGCAAGUCC